rnacentral:rRNA from 1 species
AUUGAACGCUGGCGGCAUGCCUUACACAUGCAAGUCGAACGGCAGCGGGGGAGAAGCUUGCUUUUCCUGCCGGCGAGUGGCGAACGGGUGAGUAAUACAUCGGAACGUGCCCUGUAGUGGGGGAUAACUAGCCGAAAGAUUAGCUAAUACCGCACACGACCUGAGGGUGAAAGUGGGGGACCGUAAGGCCUCAUGCUAUAGGAGCGGCCGAUGUCUGAUUAGCUAGUUGGUGGGGUAAAGGCCUACCAAGGCGACGAUCAGUAGCUGGUCUGAGAGGACGAUCAGCCACACUGGGACUGAGACACGGCCCAGACUCCUACGGGAGGCAGCAGUGGGGAAUUUUGGACAAUGGGCGAAAGCCUGAUCCAGCAAUGCCGCGUGUGUGAAGAAGGCCUUCGGGUUGUAAAGCACUUUUGUCCGGAAAGAAAGGGCUCUGGUUAAUACCUGGGGUCGAUGACGGUACCGGAAGAAUAAGGACCGGCUAACCACGUGCCAGCAGCCGCAGUAA